rnacentral:rRNA from 1 species
UACAGAGGUGGCAAGCGUUGUUCGGAAUUACUGGGCGUAAAGGGCGCGUAGGCGGCCUUCUAAGUCGAACGUGAAAUCCCUGGGCUCAACCCAGGAACUGCGUCCGAUACUGGAAGGCUUGAAUCCGGGAGAGGGAUGCGGAAUUCCAGGUGUAGCGGUGAAAUGCGUAGAUAUCUGGAGGAACACCGGUGGCGAAGGCGGCAUCCUGGACCGGCAUUGACGCUGAGGCGCGAAAGCUAGGGGAGCAAACAGG